rnacentral:rRNA from 1 species
AGUCGAGAAUCUUCGGCAAUGGGCGAAAGCCUGACCGAGCGAUGCCGCGUGCGGGAUGAAGGCCCUCGGGUUGUAAACCGCUGUCGUAGGGGAGGAAGGUUCCGUGAAGAGCGGGACUUGACCUAUCCUAGGAGGAAGUACGGGCUAAGUUCGUGCCAGCAGCCGCGGUAACACGAACCGUACGAACGUUAUUCGGAAUUACUGGGCUUAAAGGGUUUGUAGGCGGCCUUGUAAGUCAGGUGUGAAAGCCCUCGGCUCAACCGAGGAACAGCGCUUGAUACUGCAAGGCUUGAGGGAGACAGGGGUAAGCGGAACUGAUGGUGGAGCGGUGAAAUGCGUUGAUAUCAUCAGGAACACCGGUGGCGAAAGCGGCUUACUGGGUCUCUUCUGACGCUGAGGAACGAAAGCUAGGGUAGCGAA